GUGCCAGCAGCCGCGGUAAUACGUAGGUGGCGAGCGUUAUCCGGAAUUAUUGGGCGUAAAGAGCGCGCAGGUGGUUGAUUAAGUCUGAUGUGAAAGCCCACGGCUUAACCGUGGAGGGUCAUUGGAAACUGGUCGACUUGAGUGCAGAAGAGGGAAGUGGAAUUCCAUGUGUAGCGGUGAAAUGCGUAGAGAUAUGGAGGAACACCAGUGGCGAAGGCGGCUUCCUGGUCUGUAACUGACACUGAGGCGCGAAAGCGUGGGGAGCAAACAGGAUUAGAUACCCCCGUAGUCC
rnacentral:rRNA from 1 species